rnacentral:tRNA from 1 species
GCGCCCGUAGCUCAACCGGAUAGAGCAGGGGACUCCUAAGCCCAAGGUUGCUGGUUCGAUUCCAGUCGGGCGCACCA